rnacentral:rRNA from 1 species
UACAGAGGUCGCGAGCGUUGUUCGGAUUUAUUGGGCGUAAAGGGCGCGUAGGCGGCGGAGCAAGUUGGGUGUGAAAUCCCGGGGCUCAACCUCGGAAUGGCAUUCAAUACUGCUUCGCUCGAGUACUGGAGAGGAGGCUGGAAUUUACGGUGUAGCAGUGAAAUGCGUAGAUAUCGUAAGGAAGGCCGGUGGCGAAAGCGAGCCUCUGGACAGUUACUGACGCUGAUGCACGAAGGCCAGGGGAGCAAACGGG